GGAGGGUGCGAGCGUUGUCCGGAAUCACUGGGCGUAAAGGGCGCGUAGGCGGCCUGGUAAGUAGGGGGUGAAAUCCUGCGGCUUAACCGCAGGGCUGCCUUCUAAACUGUCAGGCUCGAGCACGGUAGAGGCAGAUGGAAUUCCCGGUGUAGCGGUGGAAUGCGUAGAGAUCGGGAAGAACAUCAGUGGCGAAGGCGGUCUGCUGGGCCGUUGCUGACGCUGAGGCGCGACAGCGUGGGGAGCAAACAGGAUUAGAUACCCUGGUAGUCCACGCCGUAAACGAUGGGCACUAGGCGUCGGGGGGAGCGACCCUCCCGGUGCCGUCGCUAACGCAGUAAGUGCCCCGCCUGGGGAGUACGGCCGCAAGGCUGAA
rnacentral:rRNA from 1 species